UCUCCUACGGGGCGCAGCAGUAGGGAAUCUUCCACAAUGGACGAAAGUCUGAUGGAGCAACGCCGCGUGAGUGAAGAAGGGUUUCGGCUCGUAAAGCUCUGUUGGUAGUGAAGAACGUGCGUGAGAGUAACUGUUCACGCAGUGACGGUAUCCAACCAGAAAGUCACGGCUAACUACGUGCCAGCAGCCGCGGGAAUACGUAGGUGGCAAGCGUUAACCGGAUUUAUUGGGCGUAAAGC
rnacentral:rRNA from 1 species